AUAACAUAAAUUGAUAAGACAUCACCGUGCAAAAUGCAAAUGCCAAAUGGGACAGGUAUCCAGACGGCAGACACUCAGUAGCCACUGGCAAGUAUCUAUGGUGUACGAUGGAGAUUGCGAGUGUCUGAAUUACCGAGUGGGAAGGCCAUUCGUCCCGGAUUCCCCGGGUCGUUACCGGUUUAGGAAUCCGUGUCCCGGCGUCCCGACAAAGGUUCUCGGGACACCGAUUUGUACCGGUUUAGGACUUUUGCAUAGUAAGGUCCCGGAAAUUAAAAUCGUUUUAUAAUUUUAUCGUUAUACUCACUCGGUUAUCGAUUUUAUUUUGAACGAAUCCUAAUGACCUGAACGUAAAUUAUUUCGAGAACGAUCGUCGGAAUGUACGACAAUCACAGUUAUAAUCAGUUUCUAAUUUUAACCAACCUGCUGCCUUUAACCACAUUAAUUUUCGAUCAGGAAUUUUGAGUGCUAUGAUCACGAAAAAUAAUAUUAUUUAUGUGCAUUUAACAGAAUGGAUAGUUUAUAGUCUGUACAGUAAUUUGCUGACGAUACAAGUAAGUAUGCUAGUGCGAAAUAUUUUACAUUGUUGACUUUUUAUCCAGUUCGUCAUUUGACGCAGUGACUAUGCUGCCCAAAAGACUUGGUCAGUUUUAACACAAAAUUGCACGACGAUUUCCCAUUAUUAUUAAAAAUUUAUUUGUUUUCAUUUUUUACAAAUUGUUGUGUCCCGGAUUCCUUAAAAUUAAAUCUGGCCACCCUAGCCAACAUAUAAUUGCUGCUGCAUUGUAUCCAUCAUCCAUGGCCAACUACUGACAGCACCAUGCAUACUUUUAGAAGGAAUUUGUUGCCAAAUCUUCUGCAGUCACCAACAAAUUUGAAAAUGGCAAACUACACAGCUUUCAAUGCUGUAGUUAAGAUAUUUUUCAGUACUGUCUCACCGAUAGUGAUGGUAAUUGUGUCUAUAUUAUAUGAAAAUUGUUUUAUUCAUGUAAUAGGCAUCAGUGCUAGACUUUAAUACAUAAUACAUUUUAGAUAAUUUUUUUAUUUACUGUGAUAUGCAGAAUGAGCUACUUAAAAUGAGUCAUGAAAACAAUUCAAUCAAAAUUUAUUUAAUUGCUUUGGUGUCAGUGGGACAUACUGACUUUUUAUUCUAUCAACCUAUAAAUCAAAUGUGAAAUUGAGUUCUUUAAUUGAUAUAUUUAUUAUUAAUUUAUGACUAGGAAUACAAAACUUAAUGUUAGUCUGCUGCCAGCUUACUUAUUCCAGUAGUUUUGGAAAACAAUAUAAUUAAAGUCCAUGCCGAUGUGAUCUUUAACUUUGUAACCGUGAAUAUGGGUAAUCAGCUACUUAACAUCCAUUGUAUGAUUUGAUAUUUUGCAAGUUAUCUUCUUUAUUUAAAAAAUAUUAUUUACUUUAAAAAUGUCAUGGUAUAUUAAACCAAUACAUUUAAUUUUCGUAGUCUAUUCAAUAGAAUAUGUUUUAAUGUAAGCCAAAUGGAUGCCUAUCAAUGUGUUGUUAAUUUUAUGAAGAUUAAUUUGUUUCCAAAACUUGUACUACAAACAAUGUUAACCGAUAUGAGAUUACAUUAAAAGGGAUACAUUAUUGUCUCUGGGUACUGAAAACACAAGUGUUGUGUGAUACCAGUUUCGUCAUAACCAGAUGAGCCAUUUAUUAUUAUCUUAUGUUAUAAUAUAUUUGUAUAUUGUAUAUUAUUUUCAAUGUAUGAAUUAUAUAGGUCGCAUAAACAUAGUAAAAUCUCUUAUUUCAUGAACUAGAUAUCCUUGUCGGUGGUGAAUUCCUAUGUGUAAUUAUUAUAAAAAAAUUUUUUUUUGCAUUAUUUAUGAAUAAAUUAUAUUAUAUCAUAAUAAAAACUAUACUGAUUGUGUGUUAUGUAUGUAAUGCAGGUAGUAUUGUGCAUGUAGUUUGUAUGAUAUUUGGUGUGUUUUUUGUAAGACGUACCAAGACCACCACUUCAUACAACAGUGAUUUAGAAAAGUAUAGUUUAUUAUAAAGAUAUAAUAUAAUUUAUUGCUAAAUAACACGAGGAAAAGUUGUUUUAUAAUAAUCACACAAUAAUAGUUUACGUAUUAUACUCAUGACAUGGAUAUCCUAUAAUAGUAUACUGUAUUUUUGUCAAAGUUUAAGAUCUGGAAGAAUUUCAUUAUUUGUUCAUGAAAUUAGUGAUUCCACAAUGUGGUGCAACAAUUGUGUUUUAAGUUACAUACUUACAGUUCAGUUUCAGUACCCAUAUACAUUUUCAAAUAUGUACUUUGCUUACAUUUUAUAGUAUUAUGUUGAAAAAUGAAUAUUAUGAACCAUCUACGGACCAUACAUCAUAAUGUGCAUGCAUUAAAAUGUUUGAAAAUGUCAAUGUGCUUACCACUUUUGCCAGCUGACAAAAUGGAAUAUAAACUUCAACUUAUUAAAUCCUUUGCUACUAAUCAUGAUGUGCAAAUUAAUGAUUUUUUAAUUACUUAUAAAUAAAUUGGUUACAGAAUAUUGAAACAAACAUUGUGUCAGUAAAUGGGUUGCCAAAAAGAACAAACAAUAAAGUGGAGAGUGUUCACAAUUCAUUAAGACAUACAUUUUCUGUUACACAUCCAAAUUUUUGGGUUUUUCUUAGUAAGUUUAUGUUCCUUAUAUUGAAAUGAAUGGAUAGGUUAGGUAUUCAUAAUUCAGUUGAUAUAAUGAAUAUAUAGAUAUCACUCAAUACAGUAUUGCUAAUUCCCCCUACACAAGCACAGCGAAUCCAAAUUACAUGCAGAAAAAAAUUAUAAAUUGGAAAGUCUAAAUUGCACUUGGAUUUCCACUGAAAGCUUUUGUUACAUUACAAUGAAAUAUAUAAUUUUAUGGAACGUGACACUGUGAAUAUUAAAUUUAAAUAUUGUAGUUUAUAAUUAUUACAUUAUUCUAAAAUAGGUAUUAAACCAGAAAGUCCUUAUGACAUUUACGGUGCAUGUUUCAAUGCAGAUAUGUAUGUCAAAAAGAUACUUAAGGUAAAAAAAAAAGUUAAAUUUAUUGUACAUUUUAUUUCUCAUUUAAGUAGUUCUUAUGAUUCUUCAAAAAUUGUAUUUGACAACGAAAACAAUUUCGUGUUAAAAAUUAUGCUCGAUUAACUAUACAAUUAUUAUAAUUUCAGUUAAUUUAACUAUUUUUAAUUGUAUGCUCGCAUAUAACUUGAAAAUGCUUCUUUUGAAAAACAAAUAGUGCUUAACUGUUUAAAUAUAUCUUUGAAAUCUAGACCUCUUAGUUUGAAUUUCAGUUGAUCAAUAUGAAAUGUUUUAUGUCUAUUAAAUAUAUUUGUUCAUAAUAUUAUGUAAGAGUCAAAUUUAAAACAAGUAAUAGAUCACAAAAGAGAAGUACAUUAAGAUAUUUAAUCUUUACAAUUGGAAAAAUUACUGGUAAAGAAUUAACUAAAUCGUCUAAAUCUGUUAAUCUUUUUCUUCAACUUGAUGAGCCGGUUCUAUCAUUAUGCAAAAAGUUGUUGUUGCUCUCAUAAUCGCCUGAUAGAGUCAUUGCAUGUUCUUAAAUUGCAAGUUGAUGAUAUAAAUCAAGUAAAUUUAAUUAUGAUUCUUAUUGUUUUUAAUUUUAUUACUCAAAUAUGUAAUAUUAUAUAUAU